GAUCCUGGCUUAGGAUGAACGCUAGCUACAGGCUUAACACAUGCAAGUCGAGGGGCAUCAUGGAGUUUGCUUGCAAACUCUGAUGGCGACCGGCGCACGGGUGAGUAACGCGUAUCCAACCUUCCCUAUAGUAGAGGAUAGCCCGGCGAAAGUCGGAUUAAUACUCUAUGUUUUCCGUUGCAGACAUCUAAGAUGGAACAAAGGCUUGCCGCUAUAGGAUGGGGAUGCGUCUGAUUAGGUAGUCGGCGGGGUAACGGCCCACCGAGCCAUCGAUCAGUAGGGGUUCUGAGAGGAAGGUCUCCCACAUUGGAACUGAGACACGGUCCAAACUCCUACGGGAGGCAGCAGUGAGGAAUAUUGGUCAAUGGGCGAGAGCCUGAACCAGCCAAGUAGCCGUGCAGGACGACGGCCCUAUGGGUUGUAAACUGCUUUUAUGCGGGGAUAAAGUUCACUACGUGUAGUGUUUUGUAGGUACCGCAUGAAUAAGGACCGGCUAAUUCCGUGCCAGCCGCGGC
rnacentral:rRNA from 1 species